GCACUGCUGACGAGUCCCAAACAGAAUGAAACAGCUGUCCCGGUGC
rfam:Echinostoma caproni strain Egypt genome assembly, scaffold: ECPE_scaffold0001383